rnacentral:lncRNA from 1 species
UGACAAUGUAUUCAUGUCCUUGUGAUUCCAACCACUCACGGAUACCUAACGCUCCUUCAACACAUCCCACAAAAUUGGGAUUCGAUGAAGCAUACUCAUUGCCUUUGUAGAAAACACCUACAAUCUUCUUCUUUCCACCAGAGGCCUAUUCCCAACCAAAAAAAAACAAUGCAUAAGAAAAGUCAAAUAACAAAACAUACCUAAAAAAAGCAACUACUAUUAUGUAUAUGAAUACACUGCUCAUAAAAAAUCACCCCUUUUUAAACUAAUUUGACUUUAGGGUACAAUUGUCCAAACCAAAUUCAAUUGUAUAAAAUAAAAAUUAAAAUCCAUCAAUUUAGUUCAUAAAUUUGUUAAAACUGUUACUACCAUACUAGUUUUUUUAUUAAAAAUUGAUAUAAAUGGUGAAUUUGAUAGGGAGGACUACGGUACUGACCCUCGAUCAAAUUAGUCAGGCCAGUGGACCGGAGUCGGGGUCAGAUGGUGGUGGUGAAAAUAAAAUAAAAAAUCUUAAAUUAUUGAAAUUUGCUAUAAAAAAAAAGAACUAUAAAUAGUUGGAUGGAAGAAUAGUUUAAGAUCUCUUAAUUGAUUUUUUAACCGUUUAAAGAUUAAAUUAUUAAAAGAGCAAUAGUUAAGAAAUUAAAUUGUAAAAAAGAGAAAAUAAAAAAUGUUCUAUCAAUGCUGACAAGUGUGAGAGAGAAAAUGCGGUGGCAUCGCGUGAAUGUGACGACGGACGGAUCAUGAUGCAUGCAAGAAAGAGAAACGAAAAUGACAGAUACCAGAUCAUAUCUUCUUUUGUGGAUAACUAUUAAAAAAAAUUGGUAACCAAUUGUUUUUUUAAGAUUAAGAACAAUGAAACGAAGAAUAAAAAAGGAUCAAAAUAGAUAUAGAAUGAAAUUAAGAUGGUUAGUUGGUGAUGAAAUUGAACUUACAUGAAGGUUUCUGGUGAUGGUGGAAGAAGCAGAGAUCAAGGUGGAAGCAGCAGAUUUCAUAGCCAUGUUCGAUCGAUUUUUGGUUUCACUGAAACUGAAGAAGCAGGUAGAAGAAAGAAGAAGGAUGAUAGUGUGAAGUGUGAGGAGUAGAGAGGGGGGGUUUAUAUAGAAAAGAAAAAUUGAAGAGAAUUAUUUAUGAGCAGACGGAAUGGUGAAUGACUGCCAAACUUAACUUAACAUGAGGAAGGCUUUAUCUUU